rnacentral:snRNA from 1 species
AGCUUUGCGCAGUGGCAGUAUCGUAGCCAAUGAGGUUUAUCCGAGGCGCGAUUAUUGCUGAUUAUUGCUAAUGAAGCAAAUCUUAUCUAAUGCAUUAUAAUUUGGCAAAGUUGAAACAAAAAUGGCUUU